rnacentral:lncRNA from 1 species
AAAAAAGAACAAAAAUGCCAGAAAUGUUGUAAACGAUAAGGUGGAGAGUGGAGCCCACCACAUAGGGCUUUGCCUAUAAAAUGGUUCAGACUUCAUUGUAAUGUGAUGGGAUUGAAUAUAAAAUUAAGAGAACUAAUCCGAUUGUUUUUCUCUGCUCCUAAUUCUCUCUAUUCAAUUUCCUUUAGAUUUAUAACACGUUAUCAGCACGAAUUCGCUCUCAAAUAUAUCGGUUGAAUUCUCUGAUGAAACCCAGAUCUAUCCCUCCCUCCUUCCAUCCGUCUUCUUCUGCAACUGCAACUCUGCAAGUGUGCGGUUGUAAAGUAAUCAGAGCUGGAGAGGGUCUCUGUUCUUGCCCCAUUUAUGCAUACACAAGUGGUUCUGUCUUUGUGACCUUGUGACUCUGUGUGUGUGUGUGCCACAGAGAGAGAAAGAGAGUUACAGUCAUAGACCGAAACCCCAAAAGGCCAAAUCCCAUCAGAGUUACCCAACAGUAUAUGCUGAAGAUUUGAAAGAGAUGGAAGGUGAUUUGGAGAAGGUGGUAAGCUUGUGGGCCACCGUCAAAGAAAAAAAAAAAGGUGGAAGAGACCAAGAAGCUUUGGGAGAGGACGUUUGAUCAACCAUAUGAGAAAGCUGGUGGAAGAAAUAGCUUUGGAAUUGGAUGGAGGUGUCUCAUUCAAGCACGGCAGGAUCAAAUAUUUUGAUGAAGUUUUGUCACAACAAAGAGGGGAUUGAUUGCUCCAAGGUUCCCAAAAGGAGAUUGAAUGAAGAUCUUUGCUUAGAGUACAGGGAAGGAAGGUGCAGGGUGCCAAGGAUCAGAGAGGUUGAUACAAGAAAAGAAAGACUUCCUAAUCAUGAUGAUGGCGGCCAUAGUGCAAGUCUAUAAUGAUAUUAUUUUAUGAAGGUGUGAUAUUAUUUUAAUUAUAUAAUUAUAUUGAUUAAAGGUGUGCAGGAAGAAAAGUGGGAUACAGCAAGUUGAUCCUAGUGGAAAGCAAAGUAAAGGAAACAAAUGAUUAUUGCCAGGCAUGUGAACACCCACCGAAAUAAUGGGAUAAGUACCCUGUCUCACUCUAUCUCCUUUAAUUAAUUAUAUUAUUUAAUACUCCUGACCAGUGUAGAUUGCAAGUGGAAAGAAUAUAAAAUGAUUUGAUAUAUCAGUAUAAUAAUAUCAUACUAUUUGAUUGUGGUGUUGAUAUGAACCCACAAAUAAUUGUCUUUACUUUAUUCAUUCCGCAAUUAUUUUAUUUACUGUAUGGUGUAGGUUUCUUACCCAUACAAGCACAUUUACUUUAUCAUAAAUUUACUUUAAAGGGUGGUGCGGGUUUAUCGUCCACGCCUUUACUGACAUUUACUGACAUUUACUUUAUCGUAAAUUUACUACUGACAUUUACUGACAUUUACUUUAUCGUAAAUUUACUACUGACAUUUACUGACAUUUACUUUAUCGUAAAUUUACUUUAAAGGGUGGUGCGGGAUUAUCGUCCACGCCUUUACUUUCAUUUAAAGUAUGGUGCGGCAUUAACGUCCAUACAGCAAUUUAAUUUGUGAAUUUACUUUACAGCAAAUUAACCUACUUUAAAGGGUGGUGCGGGUUUAUCGUCCACGCCUUUACUGUUAUUUAAAUGUAUGGAGCAGAAUUAGUGCCCAUACAAGCACAUUUACUUUACCGCACAUUUAAAGUAUGGUGCGGGAUUAACGUCCAUACAAGUAAUUUAUUUAAACGGUAAAUUUAUUUUAUGGAUUAAUUGUGCUGUAUGAUGAGUUUUUACAGUAUUCAGAUCAUGACCAGAAGUUCCUUGAUCCUCAUCAUACAUUUACAUCAGGACUUGAAGAUCCUUGAUGAUGAUAUUGAUAUAAGAGCUGGCAGUCUCUCCGGUACUAUAUUUGUAAACAUGUGAUCGGAC